UACGAAGGGGGCUAGCGUUGCUCGGAAUCACUGGGCGUAAAGCGCACGUAGGCGGGUCGUUAAGUCGAGGGUGAAAUCCUGGAGCUCAACUCCAGAACUGCCUUCGAUACUGGCGAUCUUCGAGUCCGGGAGAGGUGAGUGGAACUCCGAGUGUAGAGGUGAAAUUCGUAGAUAUUCGGAAGAACACCAGUGGCGAAGGCGGCUCACUGGCCCGGUACUGACGCUGAGGUGCGAAAGCGUGAGGAGCAAACAGG
rnacentral:rRNA from 1 species